rnacentral:rRNA from 1 species
GAUGAACGCUGGCGGCGUGCCUAAUACAUGCAAGUCGAGCGAACAGACGAGGAGCUUGCUCCUCUGACGUUAGCGGCGGACGGGUGAGUAACACGUGGAUAACCUACCUAUAAGACUGGGAUAACUUCGGGAAACCGGAGCUAAUACCGGAUAAUAUAUUGAACCGCAUGGUUCAUUAGUGAAAGACGGUUUUGCUGUCACUUAUAGAUGGAUCCGCGCCGCAUUAGCUAGUUGGUAAGGUAACGGCUUACCAAGGCAACGAUGCGUAGCCGACCUGAGAGGGUGAUCGGCCACACUGGAACUGAGACACGGUCCAGACUCCUACGGGAGGCAGCAGUAGGGAAUCUUCCGCAAUGGGCGAAAGCCUGACGGAGCAACGCCGCGUGAGUGAUGAAGGUCUUCGGAUCGUAAAGCUCUGUUAUUAGGGAAGAACAAAUGUGUAAGUAACUAUGCACGUCUUGACGGUACCUAAUCAGAAAGCCACGGCUAACUACGUG